rnacentral:rRNA from 1 species
GGAUUCCUACGGGACGCAGCAGUCGAUAAUCAUUCACAAUGGGGGAAACCCUGAUGGUGCGACGCCGCGUGGGGGAAUGAAGGUCUUCGGAUUGUAAACCCCUGUCAUGUGGGAGCAAAUUAAAAAGAUAGUACCACAAGAGGAAGAGGCGGCUAACUCUGUGUCAGCAGCCGCGGUAAUACAGAGGUCUCAAGCGUUGUUCGGAAUCACUGGGCGUAAAGCGUGCGUAGGCUGUUUCGUAAGUCGUGUGUGAAAGGCGCGGGCUCAACCCGCGGACGG